rnacentral:rRNA from 1 species
CACAUGCAAGUCGAGGGGAAACGACAUCGAAAGCUUGCUUUUGAUGGGCGUCGACCGGCGCACGGGUGAGUAACGCGUAUCCAACCUGCCCACCACUUGGGGAUAACCUUGCGAAAGUAAGACUAAUACCCAAUGACGUCUCUAGAAGACAUCUGAAAGAGAUUAAAGAUUUAUCGGUGAUGGAUGGGGAUGCGUCUGAUUAGCUUGUUGGCGGGGUAACGGCCCACCAAGGCAACGAUCAGUAGGGGUUCUGAGAGGAAGGUCCCCCACAUUGGAACUGAGACACGGUCCAAACUCCUACGGGAGGCAGCAGUGAGGAAUAUUGGUCAAUGGACGAGAGUCUGAACCAGCCAAGUAGCGUGCAGGAUGACGGCCCUAUGGGUUGCAAACUGCUUUUAUAAGGGAAUAAAGUGAGUCUCGUGAGACUUUUUGCAUGUACCUUAUGAAUAAGGACCGGCUAAUUCCGUGCCAGCAGCCGCGGUAAUACGGAAGGUCCGGGCGUUAUCCGGAUUUAUUGGGUUUAAAGGGAGCGUAGGCCGGAGAUUAAGCGUGUUGUGAAAUGUAGACGCUCAACGUCUGCACUGCAGCGCGAACUGGUUUCCUUGAGUACGCACAAAGUGGGCGGAAUUCGUGGUGUAGCGGUGAAAUGCUUAGAUAUCACGAAGAACUCCGAUUGCGAAGGCAGCUCACUGGAGCGCAACUGACGCUGAAGCUCGAAAGUGCGGGUAUCGAACAGGAUUAGAUACCCUGGUAGUCCGCACGGUAAACGAUGGAUGCCCGCUGUUGGUCUGAAUAGGUCAGCGGCCAAGCGAAAGCAUUAAGCAUCCCACCUGGGGAGUACGCCGGCAACGGUGAAACUCAAAG